rnacentral:rRNA from 1 species
UACAGAGGUCUCAAGCGUUGUUCGGAUUCAUUGGGCGUAAAGGGUGCGUAGGCGGCGCGGUAAGUCGGGUGUGAAAUCUCGGGGCUUAACUCCGAAACUGCAUUCGAUACUGCCGUGCUUGAGGACUGGAGAGGAGACUGGAAUUUACGGUGUAGCGGUGAAAUGCGUAGAUAUCGUAAGGAAGACCAGUGGCGAAGGCGGGUCUCUGGACAGUUCCUGACGCUGAGGCACGAAGGCCCAGGGGAGCAAACGGG